UACAGAGGUCUCAAGCGUUGUUCGGAUUCAUUGGGCGUAAAGGGUGCGUAGGUGGCGCCGUAAGUCGGGUGUGAAAUUUCGGAGCUUAACUCCGAAACUGCAUUCGAUACUGCGGUGCUUGAGGACUGGAGAGGAGACUGGAAUUCAUGGUGUAGCAGUGAAAUGCGUAGAGAUCAUGAGGAAGACCAGUGGCGAAGGCGGGUCUCUGGACAGUUCCUGACACUGAGGCACGAAGGCCAGGGAGGCAAACGGG
rnacentral:rRNA from 1 species